UAUUAAAAAAUUUAUUUAUUUGUACUGUUAAAAACUGAUAUGAUUGAUGGAAUAACUAGAUAGUUACACGUGGCAUGUCAUUUGUACCUCAUGUUGACGUACAAGGACUAAUUUUUAAUGGUAGAAAUAGAUGGAAUUUUAACA
rfam:Gossypium hirsutum cultivar TM-1 unplaced genomic scaffold scaffold104.1, whole genome shotgun sequence